rnacentral:rRNA from 1 species
GACGAACGCUGGCGGCGUGCUUAACACAUGCAAGUCGAACGGUAAGGCCCUUCGGGGUACACGAGUGGCGAACGGGUGAGUAACACGUGGGUGAUCUGCCCUGCACUUCGGGAUAAGCCUGGGAAACUGGGUCUAAUACCGGAUAGGACCCUGGGAUGCAUGUCCUGGGGUGGAAAGCUUUUGCGGUGUGGGAUGGGCCCGCGGCCUAUCAGCUUGUUGGUGGGGUGAUGGCCUACCAAGGCGACGACGGGUAGCCGGCCUGAGAGGGGGACCGGCCACACGGGGACUGAGAUACGGACCAGACGCCGACGGGAGGCAGCAGUGGGGAAUAUUGCACAAUGGGCGCAAGCCUGAUGCAGCGACGCCGCGUGAGGGAUGACGGCCUUCGGGUUGUAAACCUCUUUCAGCACCGACGAAGCGCAAGUGACGGUAGGUGCAGAAGAAGGACCGGCCAACUACGCGCCAGCAGCCGCCGUAA